GAGGGUAUAGCUCAGUGGUAGAGCGUGUGAUUAGCAUGGAUGAGGUCCUGGCUUCAAUCCCCAGUGCCUCCA
rnacentral:tRNA from 1 species